rnacentral:rRNA from 1 species
UGGUGGGUUGCCUUGUCAGGUUGAUUCCGGUAACGAACGAGACCUCAGCCUGCUAAAUAGCCACGCCCGCCUCGCUGCGGGUGCCCCUGGCUUCUUAGAGGGACUAUUGGCGACUAGCCAAUGGAAGUGUGAGGCAAUAACA